rnacentral:rRNA from 1 species
UACGUAGGGUGCGAGCGUUGUCCGGAAUUAUUGGGCGUAAAGGGCUCGUAGGCGGUCUGUCGCGUCGGGAGUGAAAACUCGGGGCUUAACCCCGAGCCUGCUUCCGAUACGGGCAGACUAGAGGUAGGCAGGGGAGAGCGGAACUCCUGGUGUAGCGGUGGAAUGCGCAGAUAUCAGGAAGAACACCGGUGGCGAAGGCGGCUCUCUGGGCCUUACCUGACGCUGAGGAGCGAAAGCGUGGGUAGCGAACAGG